rnacentral:rRNA from 1 species
GACGAACGCUGGCGGCGUGCCUAAUACAUGCAAGUCGAGCGGACGAAUCGAAAGCUUGCUUAUGAUUCGUUAGCGGCGGACGGGUGAGUAACACGUGGGCAACCUGCCCUGUAGACGGGGAUAACACCGAGAAAUCGGUGCUAAUACCGGAUAACACGAAAUGUCGCAUGACGUUUCGUUGAAAGACGGCGCAAGCUGUCGCUACAGGAUGGGCCCGCGGCGCAUUAGCUAGUUGGUGAGGUAACGGCUCACCAAGGCGACGAUGCGUAGCCGACCUGAGAGGGUGAUCGGCCACACUGGGACUGAGACACGGCCCAGACUCCUACGGGAGGCAGCAGUAGGGAAUCUUCCGCAAUGGACGAAAGUCUGACGGAGCAACGCCGCGUGAGCGAAGAAGGCCUUCGGGUCGUAAAGCUCUGUUGUUAGGGAAGAACAAGUAACGCAGUAACUGGCGUUACCGUGACGGUACCUAACGAGAAAGCCACGGCUAACUACGUG